AACGCUAGCUACAGGCUUAACACAUGCAAGUCGAGGGGUCAUCAGUUAUCGGAGCUUGCUUUGAUAGAUGGCGACCGGCGCACGGGUGAGUAACGCGUAUCCAACCUUCCCCUUAGUAGGGCACAGCCCGGCGAAAGUCGGAUUAAUUCCCUAUGUUGUUUGAUGCUGACAUCAAAAUCAAACCAAGAUUCAUCGCUAAGGGAUGGGGAUGCGUCUGAUUAGAUAGUAGGCGGGGUAACGGCCCACCUAGUCGACGAUCAGUAGGGGUUCUGAGAGGAAGGUCCCCCACAUUGGAACUGAGACACGGUCCAAACUCCUACGGGAGGCAGCAGUGAGGAAUAUUGGUCAAUGGGCGAGAGCCUGAACCAGCCAAGUAGCGUGCAGGACGACGGCCCUAUGGGUUGUAAACUGCUUUUAUACGGGGAUAAAGUGGGCCAUGUAUGGCCUUUUGCAUGUACCGUAUGAAUAAGGACCGGCUAAUUCCGUGCC
rnacentral:rRNA from 1 species